UGCCUUACACAGCAACACACACACACACACACAAACUGAAAAGUCUUCCAACUCAGCAGCACAGUGAUUGUCAAGCGUAACAUGAGGAAAGACUCAGAGAGUGUGUGUGUGUGUGUGUGUGUGUCUCCAUGUGUCUGUCUUUCAACCGUCUGUCUGUUUAUAAGUCCGUCUGUCUCUCUAUCCAUCUCUACACAUCUAUCUGUUAUUUAUCUGUCUAUCUAAUACAGUCAUGCUUAUACGAUGAGUCGGUGUGUAUUGGCCGUGUGUGUGUGUGUGUCACAUGAGGCUGGAGGGCACAGCAGCAUCCUUACUGCACGUACGCACCCUCUCUCUCUCUCUCUCUCUCUCUCUCUCUCACACACACACACACACAGCUUACUCCCACCAGCUAUUGUUUUCACAAUCAUUUGCAAUCCAUCAAAAUGUGCAGUGGCUCGCCCUGUCAUGUGAGUGCUCUAUCUUAGGCACGCGCACACACACACAGAGUUUUGUCAGUACAGAAAGACAGCACUGCCCCCACAUGGUCACACACACUCAGCACACUCUAACAGCUCUGAUUGAGAUGGAGAAAAUUGACAUGACCUCUCUCUCUCUCUCUCUCUCUCUCUCUCUCUCUCUCUCACACACACACACACACACACACAGUUUGGAAAUCUGCCCCCAGAAUAAUCAUUUCAGCGCUAAACACACACAUUUUGAGUCCUUAUUGCUGAAGAAUCCACUAUGUUUUACAGAGGCAGAAGUGAAGUUAUUUGUAAACUGCGGCGGUCGGGGACUCUGGGACGGAGCACCACUCGGUGUGUUUUGACUCUUCAUUAGGUUUGGAUGAGUCUCUGCUCUCGGGAGACAUGGAAAUCCGAUUUGAGACACAGCCGCUCACCCUCGACCCCUACAGAGAGGGGCUUAAACACGCUGUGAAUUUCAGCACUCGGGCUAAAAAGACCGGCAGGAAUCUUCUGUUCACUGAGCAGUGAGACACGCUGAACCACAGAGACAGAGACACAGACAGAGAGAGAGAGAGACUCGUGGAGGAGAAAUGAAAACUGUGACGGACUGAGCUGUAGUGUGUGUGUGAUAAACCAACAUGAAGACCAGAGAGCUGUCUAUGGGAGAAAAGCGAGCCAUGUUCAAGCUGUGAGAAGAGGGAACAUCUAUCCAGCAGCAUCACACAAGCAUUGUGGAAUGGCCUGAAAACGAAAGAACCCACCGGUGUACGGGUGUACCCCGGGUCGGCCGAGGAAAACAGCAACAGUCGAUGACAGAAAUAUUGCGAGAGCUGCGAAGAAAAACCCGCAACCAAGUCAGUGACAUCACCGACAACCUCCACAGGGCAGGGGUGAAGGUAUCACAAUCCACCGUUGAGCAGAAAUACAGCGGACAAACCACAAGAUGCUCACCACUCAUCAGCAGUACGAAUCAGAAAACCAGACUGGAAUUCGCAAAGAAAUACGGAGACGAUCCACGAAAGUUCUGGAACCGAGAUGAACUUCUAGCAAAGUGACGGAAAGUCCAAAGUGUGGAGAAAGAACGGAUCCGCUCGUGAUCCAGAACAUACAAGCUCACCUGUGAAACAUGAUGGAGGUAGCGUCAUGGCUUGGGCUCUCAUGGCUGCUUCUGGAACAUUCUCACUAAUCUUUAUUGAUGAAGAACUCAUGAUGGGAGCAGCAGAACGCAUUCAGAAGUCUACAGGAACGUUCUCUCCGCAGAUUUACAGAGAAAUGCAUCCGAAUGAAUCAGGACUUUACUUCAAGACUGAUCUGUUCCUAUACUUUUGUUCGCUUAAAAAUUGAGUGAUGCAAAAAAAGCCGUAUAUUUUAUGGUGUGUAAGACGUCUAGACGUAAAAUACAGGAAAUGAACGCUGAAAUCCUAAACUCUCGUCUCCAUCUUUUCAUCUCAAACCCAAAAGUCUUUGGUGUAGAGCACAAACUAAUGAAUUGGCCUCGCCGUU